UCGGGAAUUUUGGGCAAUGGGCGAAAGCCUGACCCAGCAACGCCGCGUGAAGGAUGAAGUAUUUCGGUAUGUAAACUUCGUAAGAAUAGGAAGAAUAAAUGACGGUACUAUUUGUAAGGUCCGGCUAACUACGUGCCAGCAGCCGCGGUAAUACGUAGGGACCAAGCGUUGUUCGGAUUUACUGGGCGUAAAGGGCGCGUAGGCGGUUUGUCAAGUCAGUUGUGAAAUCUCCGAGCUUAACUCGGAACGGUCAACUGAUACUGUCAAACUAGAGUACAGAAGGGGCAAUCGGAAUUCUUGGUGUAGCGGUGAAAUGCGUAGAUAUCAAGAGGAACACCUGAGGCGAAGGCGGGUUGCUGGGCUGAUACUGACGCUGAAGCGCGAAAGCUAGGGUAGCAAACGGGAUUAGAUACCCCUGUAGUCCCUGAGCGGGCUGGCAAGGCGCAU
rnacentral:rRNA from 1 species